UNCCACUUGGCUACCUGGUGCUACUUCCUCC
rnacentral:piRNA from 1 species